UCCUCUGGAGUUGAGCAAGAGG
rnacentral:misc_RNA from 1 species